GCAGGAGAUGAACCUGGGAGGCAGAGGUUGCAGUGAGCCGAGAUUGCGUCAUUGCACUCCAGCCUGGACAACAGAGCUAGACUCUGUUUCAAAUAAAUAAAUAUCCAAAGAUUUUUCAAAAGGGAAAUAUCUUUUUUUUUUAAAAGACAGAGUCUCACUCUGUCACCCAGGCUGGAGUGCAGUGGCGCAAUCUCGGCUCACCGCAACCUCUGCCUCCCAGGUUCAAGCAAUUCUCCUGCCUCAGUCUCCCGAGUAGCUGGGAUUACAGGUGUGCACCACCACGCCCAGC
rnacentral:SRP_RNA from 10 species